rnacentral:tRNA from 1 species
GUGGGUAUAGCUCAGUUGGUUAGAGCGCCAGAUUGUGGCUCUGGAGGUCGUGGGUUCGACUCUCACUAUCCACCCCA